ACUCCUACGGGAGGCAGCAGUGGGGAAUAUUGCACAAUGGGGGAAACCCUGAUGCAGCCAUGCCGCGUGUGUGAAGAAGGCCUUCGGGUUGUAAAGCACUUUCAGUAGGGAGGAAGGUAGUGUAGUUAACACCUGCACUAUUUGACGUUACCUACAGAAGAAGCACCGGCUAACUCCGUGCCAGCAGCCGCGGUAAUACGGAGGGUGCGAGCGUUAAUCGGAAUUACUGGGCGUAAAGCGCAUGCAGGUGGUUUGUUAAGUCAGAUGUGAAAGCCCGGGGCUCAACCUCGGAAUUGCAUUUGAAACUGGCAGACUAGAGUACUGUAGAGGGGGGUAGAAUUUCAGGUGUAGCGGUGAAAUGCGUAGAGAUCUGAAGGAAUACCGGUGGCGAAGGCGGCCCCCUGGACAGAUACUGACACUCAGAUGCGAAAGCUGGGGGAGCAAACAGGAUUAGAUACCCUGGUAGAUAGC
rnacentral:rRNA from 1 species